CAGUCCAGCCAUCAUCUCCGACGGAUCUCACCCCAGACAGCCACGUUCCGCCGCACCCAACGUCUCAUUGGCCAACCGUCUAACCACCAAGCCUCCGUCGUCUCCUCGUCUCUCAUGUUCAGAUCUCGCAUGAGACUCACUUCUGGCAGAUUCACUUUCAUGGGUUGAGGAUCGUUCUAGGUUCAACAUGAUACAUAUGGAUGUGCUUGGAUUGCUUCAUCCCCCCAGUUGGCUCGAAGAAGGAGGAAGACGAAGAAGAAGCAAAAGAAGGAAGACGAAGAAGAAGAUGAAGAAAGAUGUUCUCCAAACUGGAUUAUAUUCGACCCAACAUACAAAAAAAAAAAAAAACAAAAACAAACAAAC